CGGGUGGUAAUGCCGGAUGCUCCGGUUGGAUGCAUGUCCUUCCGGGAAAGAUCCAUCGGUAUGGGAUGGGGUCGCGUCCUAUCAGCUUGAUGGCGGGGUAACGGCCCACCAUGGCUUCGACGGGUAGCCGGCCUGAGAGGGCGACCGGCCACAUUGGGACUGAGAUACGGCCCAGACUCCUACGGGAGGCAGCAGUGGGGAAUAUUGCACAAUGGGCGCAAGCCUGAUGCAGCGACGCCGCGUGCGGGAUGGAGGCCUUCGGGUUGUAAACCGCUUUUGAUCGGGAGCAAGCCCUUCGGGGUGAGUGUACCUUUCGAAUAAGCACCGGCUAACUACGUGCCAGCAGCCGCGGUAAUACGUAGGGUGCAAGCGUUAUCCGGAAUUAUUGGGCGUAAAGGGCUCGUAGGCGGUUCGUCGCGUCCGGUGUGAAAGCCCAUCGCUUAACGGUGGGUCUGCGCCGGGUACGGGCGGGCUGGAGUGCGGUAGGGGAGACUGGAAUUCCCGGUGUAACGGUGGAAUGUGUAGAUAUC
rnacentral:rRNA from 1 species